UACGUAGGGGGCAAGCGUUGGUCCGGAUUUAUUGGGCGUAAAGAGCGUGUAGGCGGUCUGUUGCGUCCGCUGUGAAAACUCGGGGCUUAACCCCGAGCCUGACAGGUGGAUACCUGUCGGACUAGAGUCCGGAAGAGGCGAGUGGAAUUCCCGGUGUAGGCGGUGAAAUGCCGGCAGAUAUCGGGAAGGAACACCAAUGG
rnacentral:rRNA from 1 species